rnacentral:rRNA from 1 species
UACGUAGGGGCCUAGCGUUGUCCGGAAUUAUUGGGCGUAAAGAGCUCGUAGGCGGUUCGGCAAGUCGGAUGUGAAAUCUCCACGCUUAACGUGGAGGGGCCAUUCGAAACUGCUGUGACUCGAGUCCGGUAGGGGAGUGUGGAAUUCCCGGUGUAGCGGUGAAAUGCGCGGAUAUCGGGAGGAACACCAGUAGCGAAGGCGGCACUCUGGGCCGGUACUGACGCUGAGGAGCGAAAGCGUGGGGAGCGAACAGG